GGCCCCACGGAAGGGGGACGCGCGCGUGCGCCGCUGUGCUUGCGGGCCCCAGCGGAAGCCGUGCCCCUCCCUCCUGGAUCGAUCUUAAAGGGCUGGAAGCCGCUUCGGGUCUCGGCACUUUUCCUGGGGAGGGGUGCGCAGGCGCAGUGGCGAGUUCUCCGGUCGGACUAGUCAUCGCGUCCUAAGUUGCUGCUCUCUGUCCCGGCAGAGGAAGCUAGAGUGCCGAGCGUCCGGUCACCAAUUUGCACCUCACUAGAUCCACUGGACCAGAAAAGUUUGUGACUAGAGAUUCCCGAGUUUUGGGAGACCCAGGCUUGCAGCGUAGGGGGACGGAGGAGGCUGGAGGGAGCUCCCCCCAUGGAGCCCACUCAGCUUUCAGAGAAGCUCAUCCCAAACCAGCAGUCCCCCACGCCUGAACUUGAGGAUCCUGAGGACCCCAGAGACGAAUUCCCGGACAGCUCAGACACUGUGGUCCUCAGUCUGUUCCCCUGCACCCCAGAGGCUGUGAAUCCUGAAGCAGAUGCCAGUGCACCCUCGUCACAGGGCAGCUUCUUGAAGCAUUCAACAACCCUCACAAACCGGCAACGUGGGAACGAGGUCUCGGCGCUGCCAGCCACUCUGGAUUCCCUGUCUAUCCACCAGCUUGCAGCUCAAGGGGAGCUGAGCCAACUGAAGGACCAUCUGCAGAAGGGUGCGUGUCCUGUGUGUGCGGGCCUGCACGGGCUGUCUGGUGACAACCUGAUCAACAAACAAGAUGAGCGUGGCUUCACCCCCCUCAUCUGGGCCUCAGCCUUUGGAGAAAUUGAGACAGUUCGCUUCCUGCUAGACUGGGGUGCUGACCCCCACAUCCUGGCCAAGGAGAGGGAGAGCGCCCUGUCGCUUGCCAGCAUGGGCGGCUACACGGACAUUGUGAGGCUGUUACUCGAGAGGGACGUGGACAUCAACACCUAUGAUUGGAACGGGGGGGACACCACUGCUCUACGCUGUGCGUGGGAACCAUGUAAAGUGUGUGGAGGCCUUACUGGGCCUGCAGCUGUACCGUGGGGAGGGCCUCACUGCAGCCCUGCAGUCGCCUGCCAUGGCUCCCAAUCCCAGAGCAGCCCUGUGCCAGCGCUUGCUCCACCUUGCAGCCCGGGGUGCCGACCUCACCACAGAGGCAGACUCUGGCUACACCCCAAUGGACCUCGCUGUGGCCCUGGGACACCGCAAAGUGCAACAGGUGAUGGAGAGCCACAUCCUGAAACUGUUCCAGAGUACUCUGGGGCCUGCGGACCCCGAGUGAAGACAGCCUGUUGGGAACCCAGGCACUCAGGGAAAAACAGUCUCCACAACCGGCUUGAGGCAGCUCCUGGACAGUGGUGGGAAAGGCCCUCCCCAACAGGAACCAAUAAAUCUGUGAACUUGAAGGGCUUCUGGGUGUCUCCCGGGGCGGGCUUCCUGGAGGAGGUGGCCGCCGGUAGCGCUUACACUGCUUUCUCACCCAGCACCCGCAGGUGGUAGAUGACCACACGGCCGAAAAAGUCGGUGGUGUCCUCAAAGGUCAACUUCAGACGGUCCACCUCCACAGUGGGGAUGGAGAAGGUGUGAUCUCUUGCAGUCAAGGACAUGGUGACUUUGUUUCUGACCCCCAAUCCCACCUUCCCAGUUCAGAUGCCACCCAAACAGACCAGGUGACUCCAGAAUCUUGGUGCCUCUCAUUCCCAGCAAGCAAUCAACAGCAUUUCCUCUUCACCCCACCCCACACCCCCCACACACCCCAGGCAGUCUUACUGCGUAGCCCUGUCUGUCCCAGAACUCACAGAGAUCCACCUACCUCCCCAGUGCUGGGAUCAAAAGUGUAUGCCACCACCACCAGGCACCUUACUUUUUUGCCGCAGGGUCCCAGGUAGCCUGGGCUGGCUUCAAACUCACUGUGUAGCUGAGGAUGACCUUGAACUCCUGACCCUGCUGCUACCUCUGGAGCACUGAAGCUCCAUCCAAUGGCUCCUACUCAGGUCUGCCACAGCCAGCCCAGGAACAGUGGCAUGCCGUCCUUUUAAGUCUCCUCAGUUAUCCAGGCACCCCGCACCCUGAAUCUGCUUCACACUCGGCAUGGAGGGGCGCGGAGGCGCUCACCUGGUCAGAGUUCCAGCAUGUCUCCUCGUCCUGGUCAAAAAGAUGCUUCUUCCCAAACUGCCGGCUGUUUCGAUGGAGCACAGAACUCACCCUGCAGGACAGGAGCAGGGCUGGGAGCCUCCCUCCAGGCCAGGCCGCCCCGCCCACUCCGCUACAGUCAGGAGCAAGGCCGCCAGGCCCCGCCCCCGGCAGGGACGCCACCGCCCGGCCCCGCCCCCAGCCGGGACCACAGCCGCUAGACCCCGCCCCCAGCCGGGACCACGGCUGCCCGGCCCCGCCCCCAGCAGGCGCUCACCCGGCACCGGGCUGGCCCCAGGCGGCUCCCGCGCGCCUCGCCACCACCGCUCAUCUGUCACCACCCCGCGUCCCACAGCCCCGAGUCGCACCUGCUCACGGUCUCGGGGCAAACCAAAGACUGGCUCAUCUCGGCUCUGCGACGCCUUGCCCAGCGCUCAGCCGAGUUCGAACUCGUGUGCUGCCACUCCCCACUUGGUCCGGCUGCCGGCUCCCCGGUCGCCUCUGCGUGUCAAGGCGGGCGAUUCGGGACCCGGAGAGAGACAGAAGCAGCUUCCUAAACUUUACAGCCUAGCCCCAGACCUUCUGCAGAUCAGCGGACCCGACGCCGAGACCCGGAAUCGCGAGCGGACGGCGCACGCUCCGUGCAACACAGAUCCCGCCCCAUCCGCGGUGCCAGGGCGGGGUUUGAGGCGCCUUCGCUUGGCCUCUUAAAGAACCCGCACACUGAGGUUUCUGAUUCCGUGGAGCUGGAGGGUGAACGCAGACCGACCGUACCCAUCGCGGUUACAAAACAUUCUCACAGCCUUCCUGUGAUCGUGUCCUCUGCGGAGGGCCUCCCUCGUCCUGGACGCAAUCCAGCUUACCCCAUCAGGGCCUGCUUGGUGGAUGCCUGCGGCCUCGGGAGGCUAGGCAGGAGGAUUGCAUGUUACAUGCCAACAGGGACAAUUUAACAAGAUCUGUUUUUAAAAAAGGAUUUUUAAAAAUAUAUAUUCCAGCCGUA